AGAGGAAGUAAAAGUCGUAACAAGGUCUCCGUUGGUGAACCAGCGGAGGGAUCAUUACCGAGUUUACAACUCCCAAACCCAAUGUGAACCAUACCAAACUGUUGCCUCGGCGGGGUCACGCCCCGGGUGCGUCGCAGCCCCGGAACCAGGCGCCCGCCGGAGGGACCAACCAAACUCUUUUCUGUAGUCCCCUCGCGGACGUUAUUUCUUACAGCUCUGAGCAAAAAUUCAAAAUGAAUCAAAACUUUCAACAACGGAUCUCUUGGUUCUGGCAUCGAUGAAGAACGCAGCGAAAUGCGAUAAGUAAUGUGAAUUGCAGAAUUCAGUGAAUCAUCGAAUCUUUGAACGCACAUUGCGCCCGCCAGUAUUCUGGCGGGCAUGCCUGUCCGAGCGUCAUUUCAACCCUCGAACCCCUCCGGGGGGUCGGCGUUGGGGAUCGGGAACCCCUAAGACGGGAUCCCGGCCCCGAAAUACAGUGGCGGUCUCGCCGCAGCCUCUCCUGCGCAGUAGUUUGCACAACUCGCACCGGGAGCGCGGCGCGUCCACGUCCGUAAAACACCCAACUUCUGAAAUGUUGACCUCGGAUCAGGUAGGAAUACCCCGCUGAACUUAAGCAUAU
rnacentral:rRNA from 1 species